GACGAACGCUGGCGGCGUGCUUAACACAUGCAAGUCGAACGGUAAGGCCCUUCGGGGUACACGAGUGGCGAACGGGUGAGUAACACGUGGGUGAUCUGCCCUGCACUUCGGGAUAAGCCUGGGAAACUGGGUCUAAUACCGGAUAGGACGCCUGGCUUCAUGGUGGGGGGUGGAAAGCUUUUGCGGUGUGGGAUGGGCCCGCGGCCUAUCAGCUUGUUGGUGGGGUAAUGGCCUACCAAGGCGACGACGGGUAGCCGGCCUGAGAGGGUGACCGGGCAAACUGGGACUGAGAUACGGCCCAGACUCCUACGGGAGGCAGCAGUGGGGAAUAUUGCACAAUGGGCGCAAGCCUGAUGCAGCGACGCCGCGUGAGGGAUGACGGCCUUCGGGUUGUAAACCUUUUUCAGCUAUGACGAAGCGCAAGUGACGGUAGUAGCAGAAGAAGGACCGGCCAACUACGUGCCAGCCGCCGCCGUAA
rnacentral:rRNA from 1 species